CCAACACGUGAAAUAUAAAAUUAGCACUUAUAGUAGGAACAAGUACCAACAAAAAUACACAAAAUGAUCCGUAGAGUAAAAUAUUUCUUGUCAAAUUUCACAACAUAGAUGAAUGUUAUUCGUCAAGAUUGAAGAUAAUGGAAAAUAUGACAGCCUGACAUCAAAAAGCAAAUGGAUUAUUAGGAUUAUGAGUAAAAUGCUUGCAUUCCUACAGAAUGUAGAAGGAAACGAUUCCAGAUCUGAGAAUACUGCUAAAAUAUGUGGUACAUCUUUAAAAGCCAAUGCAGAUCCUGUACAGAAUCCUUGUCCAUUGGAUGUCAAACCCAAAGACUUUAUAUGCUCAGUUUGCGGUGAUUGCUUUGCAGGAGAAAAACAAUUUUAUGGACAUUUGCAAGCACAUACAGGAGAAAUACAUUGGAAAUGCACUCAAUGUCCAGAGUCCAAUGCUGGUUUCGAUUCUCUUUCGAGGCUUAAGAUUCAUGAGAAUGCUUGUCAUAAUAUAGUUAGACCUUUCAAAUGCAAGCAUUGCGAUUUACUUUUUGACCGAGGUUCCCAGCGAGAUUAUCAUAUGAGAAGUGUACAUUUUGGUGAAAAAUCACAAAUAUGUCAGAUAUGUGGUAAAGGAUUUUUUCGCAGAAAUGAUUUACGUACUCAUCUGAACAUUCAUUUAGGUACAAAUCUUUGCAUUUGUGAAAUUUGUGGAAGGAAAUUCAAUCAUGUAUCAAAUCUCAUAAGACACUGUAGAAUUCAUGCAGGAGUGAAACCAUAUCCUUGCUGUAUAUGUGGCAAAAGAUUCACACAAAUUGGUUCUUUGGCAAGGCACAAAAGAAUUCACAGUCGAGAACAAGAUAGUAUUAAAGCUUGCUCAAUCAAAAACCAAGAUAACGCGCCUUUCGAUCUUAAUAAUGAAGUUUCCAACAAACAUGAUCUGCAAGGUGUGGAGCCAAGUCAGCAUAAGCCUAGUAAACGCCAGCACUAUUGCAAAAUUUGUGGGGAAAGUUUUCAAUUCAUAUUGCUGUUACGACAACAUGAAAAACAUCACUUGCACAGUGCUGAAGAUUUGGAAUGUAAAAGUUGUGGAAAGACAUUCCAGAAAGUAGAAGAAGUCAAGGAACAUUGCUGUCGACCGCUUUCUUCUUGUGAUGUUAAAGUCACAGAAAAAAUUGUUAAGAAGUUUUCGAAAUUCAUUAGAAAGACAGAACAUUUCAAUGAUCCAGCUGAUGACUCUCACGGCGCUGAAACUAUUUUAAUACAAUUACAGGAUGAAAGAAUAGAAAAUACUGCAACUUCUAACAUAUCAAUGAAUGAAAUCAAAGAACAACCAAUCCAAGGACAACCUAUGAUAUACUCAGCAACAAAUCAGGUCACCAAUUUUAAUUCGGAAGAAGCUGAAGAAAUACCAAAUGAAAUAUUACAAGAACAUUUGAUGGAACUUGCUGGCAAAAUAAAUACAAUAAGCAUGGCACCAGACCGGGAUGCUAGCAUCAAUAUUUCUGAUAUACUUGAAACGUACAAUUGCGAGGAUGCAGAGUUUGGAACUGAUAAUGAUAUGAAAUCGAAACCAUAUGAAAUCCAAAAUAUUGGAGUACAAAGUGAUAACAAUUUUUCAAGAGAAAAUAAUAUUAUUUAUAUACAAACAUUAGGCAAGGAUGGGUUUGCAAUUUUAACUGAUCAUGAAGGUAUAAUGAGAAAUGUAUCCUUAGACAUAGUGCAAGAAGCAAAUAAUACGAAUUAUCAACCUAAUAUAGAAAAUUAUCAUUCUGAUACGUCAGAAGUGCAAAUUUCAAAAAGUACUGAAGUGCCAUCGGUAACGACGCAAUUAUCAUAUGUACUAAAAUCAUUUGAUGAAAAAUUGAUCAAUCAGAAUUCUAAUUCAAAUGGAUAUUGUGCAAUUGAUUCAAUUCCAAAACUGAUGAUGUCACAAGAAAAAUUGGAUUGUAAUCCUUUAAAUACGGAAACCACAACGAAGAUAGAUCAUUACCAUAAUUUAAAAGAAAAAAAUCAGUUCAAUAUGGAAAAUUGUUAUUCAAAUACCUUAAAAAACUGCCAGUUGAGAAUACUCGAAUUGCAAGAUAACUCUGAUAUGACACUUGCGCAUGGGAAUCAUGAAUGUGCAAACGCUGAGCCGCAUUAUUUGUCAUCUUGUGAUGAUGACGCAGUAUCACAACCAUUUAUCCCAAAUACUGGCGCAAUGGAAUCGACAAAAAUUGAUGAACAAGUGCAAAACCUUGUCAAUUUUGAAAAUAUUGUUUUAAAUCGGACUGACCCAACGUUGCGUUUAGUCCAAACUGAAACUGGAGAACAGUUUUAUGAGUUAAUACUAAAUGAUUUGACAGAUAAAAUACCAAACUCUCCAAACAUUCAAAGUUUACCAGAACCUGAUAAAACCGAUGAUAUGUCAACCUCCUGUGACAUAUCCAAUAAUAUAGAAACAAUGAGCAACGAUACCUCCAAACAACCUAGUUUACGUUUGGUACAAAUGGAAAAUGGACAGCAGUUUUUUGAAAUUGUGAGGAACGAUUCCUUGGAAUUGGAAAAUUUUACAUCACCAUUGCACGAGCCAGAAACUUUACAAGCAAAUAAUCCUGAAAAUCCCAAUGAAAUUAAUAUCAACUUACAGCCGGAUAAUUUUAUUGAAACAAAUAAUUUAAAACAUAAUGAAAAUAAUCAAUAUCUCUUCGUAAAUGAAAGUCAGAAAGUAAAUUCAAUUAAUACCUUAACAAAUGAUACAGUUACUGUUCAACAUUCGAAUUUGGAAUUCGUGAAGAGUGAUGCGCAGUCUGAUUUUCAAAGUAAUGAUCAAAUAAACUUUACUGAUUUUACAAAAACUCAUUUUGACAAUAGCGCAGAACACUUUCUCGAGCUUGUACGAAACGUUGACAAUGGUCAAACAACAGUUCCAGAACAAACAGAUCGACCUAUGCCGAUAGUACGACUCAUACAAAAUGAAGAUGGCGAACAAUUUUUUGAGUUAAUUCACGAUUCCUUACAAUUCGACAAAAAUCGUCACUUAGAACUACAAAAUGAGAGAAUGGAUAGAAAUUCUUCUGCAAAUGUUCAAGGCACAAACACAUUAAAUAAUCCAGACUGUAAUAAAUCAAAUUUUUUAAUUUGCUUCAGAAAUAAUUUAGAAUUCCGACCAGUAAUGAACAUUGAUCCAAAUACGACAAAGGAACUUACUGGCGACGGUAAUGAUAAAUCAAACACUAUCAAUUUCUAUAUAGAUUUUAAUCCAAACAAUACUGCAGUUACAGGAAAUAUCAUAAAAGAACAAAAACAAAAAUCCAAAUCCUCCGUAAAGAAGUUUCAGUGUUCUGAAUGCAAUAAGAGCUUCUCUAGUAGCUACAACUUUAAACAACACAUUGGCACACACUUUACAGAUCAACAAAAGUUUCAGUGCAAAGAAUGUGGAACCCAAUUUGCAUGGAAAUCAACAUUGAACAAGCAUAUGGCAUUAUAUCAUAGACCGGAUGGGCCACAGAAAUUUGUUUGUGAAAUUUGCCCGAAAGUAUAUAACACUCUUUCUCAAGUGAAUAUUUAAUUGCAGACGGACAUGUAUUUAAUGAAUAAUAUCCUUACGAUUAGAAAUAUUUACUAUGUACAGUCAAAUCUGUCAAGAACCUUCCUAUAAUUCAACUCGCUCAAGAAAAGUCGCUCUGGCUCAGGUUCUGUGUUUGACGAGAAAUAGAAUUUCAUAUGACAGAUACAACAUACUUGUGGAUCCUGGUAGCGGUACUACAUAAUACGUAAGAUUAAUCGAUGUUUUAUAAUUAUAGUCUUUUCAGAUGAAGGAACAAAUUUGACAUACAUGAAUAAAUAUGCAUUACUAUAAGAAUUACAAUUUUCCACGAGAAUUGUCUAGGAAUUUUACAAAUUUUUACAGAAAAAAACAAUAUCGAGUCAGGAUACAUUAGCAGUGAAAAGGUCGGCAGUCGCUUUUUGUAAAAUAUAAACUGGAAUCUUAUAAAUAAGUGAAGGAAUAAUGAUGAUAAUAAUAAUAAUAAAGUUAAUAAGGAUGAUUAAUAAUUAUUAAUUAGAAUACUAGCAGAACAACGAAUGUUCUUCCUUUCGGCUAUGAAUGUUAUAAGUGUUAACUAUCUAGUACACAAUGUAUAUAUCGUAAAACUUUAGGUGUUUACUGGCUUUGGCCAUUAUUGGCAGUGAUGUUUUAAUGUGUUAUAUACAAAAUUGAAAAUUAUACGAGAUAUUUUUUAAAUAAUAUUUUUCAAAGUAGACUCUUGCAGUAGACGCUUUGACAAUUGGAACAAAUGUACAAAGCAGCCUGUAUCUUGUAAAAGCACAGCCUGCGAAUUUUUAUAAAC